CUCAGAUUCGGACCUGGCCCUGGAGCCGCGGCCCAUGGAGGAACAUUUUGAUGGGGUGCUGGAUGAAGAUACUGUGGCUGAGGCCCUGUACAAACUGGGGCGUUCAGCCCCUGGCACCAAGUUUGUUUACCUUAAUCUGUCACUGUCAGGGCGUAAUUUAAGUGACAUUAGCAUUCUUUCCAGAUACAUUCACUUAGAGAAG
rnacentral:lncRNA from 1 species